GUGGAUUAGAUACCCUGGUAGUCCACGCCGUAAACGAUGGAUACUAAGUGUUUGGGAAGUUAACCUCCUGAGUACUAAAGCUAACGCAUUAAGUAUCCCGCCUGGGGAGUACGGUCGCAAGGCUAAAACUCAAAGGAAUUGACGGGGGCCCGCACAAGCGGUGGAGUAUGUGGUUUAAUUCGAAGCAACGCGCAGAACCUUACCUACCUUUAACAUCCCGUGACAACUGCAGAGAUGUAGCGUUCCUUUCGGGGACACGGUGAUAGGUGCUGCACGAUUGUCGUCAACU
rnacentral:rRNA from 1 species